CCUAUUUUUGGCGGGGACUGGGCAUGCGGUCCCGCUCCCCGUUAUGUGCUGAGGCAGAGGGAAAGGGCUGCAGCCCUCAGUGCCGGUGGCUUCUUGUCUGCCACUUCUAUCUUCAAACACCGGGACAAGG
rnacentral:snoRNA from 1 species